UACGGAGGAUGCAAGCGUUAUCCGGAAUCAUUGGGCGUAAAGCGUCUGUAGGUGGCUUGGUAAGUCGACUGUUAAAUCGUAGAGCUUAACUCUAUAUCGGCAGUCGAAACUACUUCGCUUGAGUGUGGUAGGGGCAGAGGGAAUUCCCGGUGUAGCGGUGAAAUGCGUAGAUAUCGGGAAGAACACCAACGGCGAAAGCACUCUGCUGGGCCAACACUGACACUGAGAGACGAAAGCUAGGGUAGCCAAUGGG
rnacentral:rRNA from 1 species